GGUGAAUUUGGUCUUGGUUCCCAUUCUUAGUUUUAGCUUUGUUGAAACACAUGGUAUUUUAUGAGUUCCGGUGAGUAUUAAAGAGUAGAUGGGCUUAGGUUAAAUACUUUUAGCGUUUUAUUCUUUAUUGUGGCAUGAUUUUAUAAAUAUAAUGUUGAAGUUUUUAAUUCACUAGAGUAUAACACCAGUGUUGGAGAUUGGUUUAAUGAACUAAGGUUUGAUCCAGCAAUUAGUGUUUUUUUGAUAGGCCUAGUAAAGUUUGUGCCAGCAACCGCGGUUAGACAAACAGGUCAAGCUAAGAAUUGUCAGUAAAAGGGGGUUAGAAAAGACGAUUUUGAUUUGGAAAAGUAUUCUUUCAAUAGAGGUGGAAUUUGUAUUGGUAGAUUAAAGUUUUAUAUUUCCUUAAUUUUUUUUUGAUGCCCCGAAAUCUCAGGAUUAGACUGGGAUUAGAUACCCCAUUAUUUGAGAUAUAAAAUUUGACUUAAGGUUUACUCGAGUAUUACGGGCUAUGUUUGAGUAUGCAGUUCAUAACAUAGAAUGCCUAAAACUCAAAAGACUUGGCGGUGUUUUAAAUCCUUCCAGGGGAACCUGUCUCAUAAUCGAUAGUCCACGAUUUAUCUUUCCUUUCUUCGAAUAUAUUUAUUCAGCUUGUAUGCCGUCGUCGUCAGACUACCUUUAAGAGUAUAUUAAGUUGUCAGAAGGAAUCUAUAUAUUACAUUCUUUAAUAGUCACUUAGUGUGUUUUAUUUUUGGGUGUAAGGUUUUCUAAACGUCAGAUCAAGGUGCAGCCUAUAGAGAGGUGAGGAUGGGUUACAAUAUUGAUUUAAUAUACGAAUUUUUUAUUGUAAUUAUAAGAAUUGAAGGAGGACUUGGAAGUAAUUGUCGAAGAUUAGAAAGCUUCGGUGAAAAUGGCCCUAAAACGUGCACAUAUCGCCCGUCACUCUCGUUGAAAAAUGAGAUAAGUCGUAACAUAGUAAGGGUACCGGAAGGUGCUCUUGUUGAAGA
rnacentral:rRNA from 1 species